GACGAACGCUGGCGGCGUGCCUAAUACAUGCAAGUAGAACGCACAGUUUAUACCGUAGCUUGCUACACCAUAGACUGUGAGUUGCGAACGGGUGAGUAACGCGUAGGUAACCUGCCUGGUAGCGGGGGAUAACUAUUGGAAGCGAUAGCUAAUACCGCAUAAUAUUAAUUAUUGCAUGAUAAUUGAUUGAAAGAUGCAACUGCAUCACUACCAGAUGGACCUGCGUUGUAUUAGCUAGUAGGUGAGGUAACGGCUCACCUAGGCGACGAUACAUAGCCGACCUGAGAGGGUGAUCGGCCACACUGGGACUGAGACACGGCCCAGACUCCUACGGGAGGCAGCAGUAGGGAAUCUUCGGCAAUGGACGAAAGUCUGACCGAGCAACGCCGCGUGAGUGAAGAAGGUUUUCGGAUCGUAAAGCUCUGUUGUAAGAGAAGAACGGGUGUGAGAGUGGAAAGUUCACACUGUGACGGUAUCUUACCAGAAAGGGACGGCUAACUACGUG
rnacentral:rRNA from 1 species